ACUUGGAGAAAGAAAAAUUAGAGAAUUCCAGAUCCUUAGAAUGCAGAUCAGAUCCAGAAUCUCCUAUCAAAAAAACAAGUUUAUCUCCUACUUCUAAACUUGGAUACUCAUAUAGUAGAGAUCUAGACCUUGCUAAGAAAAAACAUGCUUCCCUGAGGCAGACGGAGUCUGAUCCAGAUGCUGAUAGAACCACUUUAAAUCAUGCAGAUCAUUCAUCAAAAAUAGUCCAGCAGCAAGAUGAAGAGCGACGUCGGCAGCUGAGAGAGAGAGCUCGUCAGCUAAUAGCAGAAGCUCGAUCUGGAGUGAAGAUGUCAGAACUUCCCAGCUAU
rnacentral:lncRNA from 1 species